rnacentral:sRNA from 1 species
AUAUUUGAGCGCUCCGAAGACAGCAGGUGACGAAAGCCGUAAUUCCUGCCGAGGACAUCAACAAUAUUACUGAUUGUUUGUGUGCUCUCGCGUCUUUUGAUGCGGGGGUUUUCUUU